CUGACAGCAGUAGACAGAAUCAGCAAAAUUCAGAAGAUGUUCAAUAAAAUAAAUUUUAACACUUAAUUUCUUCACAUAACAGCCACAACAAACUAAAAAGAAUAAAAAAGGGAGGGGGAAUCUAUAGAUAAAAGAAGCCUAAGGAACACAUUAAUGAAAUGCAAUGUGUAGACCUUGAUAGGAUCCAAAUUCAAACAAAAUAAAUACAAGAACAGCAACAGAUUAUGGGACUGCCGGAGGAAUGUGAGCACUGAUGACCAGAACAAAUCCUGAUGAAGUCCAAUUUGUUGAAUUACUAUUCUUAUGUGAAUCAUGUUUGUGGUGUCAUGUCUAAGAACUUUUCACCAAGCUAAAUGAAAUAUCCAAAGCUGAGGAUUUGCAAAAUGGAUUUCUUACAUACUUAGAGCUUAAUAAAUUGUGCUACAUACACACUGACCCAUGUAAGUUGGUGAAAUAUUGUACCCAU